rnacentral:rRNA from 1 species
GAUGAACGCUGGCGGCGUGCCUAAUACAUGCAAGUCGAGCGAACAGACGAGGAGCUUGCUCCUCUGACGUUAGCGGCGGACGGGUGAGUAACACGUGGAUAACCUACCUAUAAGACUGGGAUAACUUCGGGAAACCGGAGCUAAUACCGGAUAAUAUAUUGAACCGCAUGGUUCAAUAGUGAAAGACGGUUUUGCUGUCACUUAUAGAUGGAUCCGCGCCGCAUUAGCUAGUUGGUAAGGUAACGGCUUACCAAGGCGCCGAUGCGUAGCCGGCCUGAGAGGGUGAGCGGGCGCACUGGAAGUGAGACGCGGUCCAGGCGCGGGCGGGAGGGAGCAGUGGGGAAUCGUGCGCAAGGGGGGAAAGCGUGACGGAGCAGGGCCGCGUGAGGGAUGAAGGUCUUGGGAGGGUAAAACUCGGUUAUGAGGGAAGAACAGAUGGGUAAGGAACUGUGCACGGCGUGACGGUACCUGGUCAGAAGGGCACGGCUAACUAGGUG